GACGAACCGUGCGAACGUUAUUCGGAAUCACUGGGCUUAAAGCGCGUGUAGGCGGGCGGGUACGUCGGCGACUGAAAGCCCCCGGCUCAACCGGGGAAGGGGUGCCGAAACGGCCGGCCGGAGGGCGUAGGGGGACCUGGAACUUCCGGUGGAGCGGUGAAAUGCGUUGAGAUCGGAAGGAACGCCCGUGGCGAAAGCGAGGUCCUGGACGCCAUCUGACGCUGAGACGCGAAAGCCAGGGGAGCGAACGGG
rnacentral:rRNA from 1 species